rnacentral:tRNA from 1 species
GGAGAGAUGGCCGAGUGGCUUAAGGCACCGCCUUGCUAAGGCGGCGUACUCUCAAGGUACCGUGGGUUCGACUCCCACUCUCUCCG